rnacentral:rRNA from 1 species
AUUGAACGCUAGCGGGAUGCUUUACACAUGCAAGUCGAACGGAGUGGCGGACGGGUGAGUAAUAUAUCGGGACAUUUCCAGUAUCGGGGGGUAACUCAUCGGGAGAGUGCCUAAUAUACCACACUCGUGGAGCGGCCGCUAUCGGAUUAGCUAGUUGGUGGGGUAAAGGCUCACCAAGGCAACGAUCCGUAGCUGGUCUGAGAGGACGACCAGCCACACUGGGACUGAGACACGGCCCAGACUCCUACGGGAGGCAGCAGUGGGGAAUUUUGGACAAUGGGGGAAACCCUGAUCCAGCCAUCCCGCGUGUAUGAUGAAGGCCUUCGGGUUGUAAAGUACUUUUGGCAGAGAAGCGGUAUCUGCAGAAUAAGCACCGGCUAACUACGUGCCAGCAGCCGCGGUAAUUC